rnacentral:rRNA from 1 species
AUUGAACGCUGGCGGCAGGCCUAACACAUGCAAGUCGAACGAGUGGCGGACGGGUGAGUAAUGUCUGGGAAACUGCCUGAUGGAGGGGGAUAACUACUGGAAACGGUAGCUAAUACCGCAUACCAUCGGAUGUGCCCAGAUGGGAUUCGAUCUUAGGUGGGUGAAAGGCUAACCUAGGCGACGAUACCUACCUGGUCUGAGAGGAUGACCAGCCACACUGGAACUGAGUCACGGUCCAGACUCCAACGUGAGGCAGCAGUGGGGAAUAUUGCACAAUGGGCGCAAGCCUGAUGCAGCCAUGCCGCGUGUAUGAAGAAGGCCUUCGGGUUGUAAAGUACUUUCAGCUGGGAGGCGUUACCCGCAGAAGAAGCACCGGCUAACUCCGUGCCAGCAGCCGCGGUAAUUC